AUUGAACGCUGGCGGCAGGCCUAACACAUGCAAGUCGAGCGGAUGAAGGGAGCUUGCUCCUGGAUUCAGCGGCGGACGGGUGAGUAAUGCCUAGGAAUCUGCCUGGUAGUGGGGGAUAACGUCCGGAAACGGGCGCUAAUACCGCAUACGUCCUGAGGGAGAAAGUGGGGGAUCUUCGGACCUCACGCUAUCAGAUGAGCCUAGGUCGGAUUAGCUAGUUGGUGGGGUAAAGGCCUACCAAGGCGACGAUCCGUAACUGGUCUGAGAGGAUGAUCAGUCACACUGUAACUGAGACUCGGUCCAGACUCCUACGGGAGGCAGCAGUGGGGAAUAUUGGACAAUGGGCGAAAGCCUGAUCCAGCCAUGCCGCGUGUGUGAAGAAGGUCUUCGGAUUGUAAAGCACUUUAAGUUGGGAGGUAGGGCAGUAAGUUAAUACCUUGCUGUUUUGACGUUACCAACAGAAUAAGCACCGGCUAACUUCGUG
rnacentral:rRNA from 1 species